ensembl:rRNA 5S_rRNA 5S ribosomal RNA
GCCGACAGCUAGCUCUCUGCAACUCUCACAUGGUCGCCCAUUGAAGCUAAGCAGGGCUGUGCCUGGUCAGUACCUGGAUGGGAGACCACUAGGGAACACUAGGUUGCUGUUGGAA